rnacentral:lncRNA from 1 species
UCAGCCCAACCUGGACCACAACGCGGAGCUGCGGAAGACGACCGUUGCUUCCUCCACUUCGACGACCCCGGACGAAGUCGGAGUCUGAUCACCAGACCCUAGGGUGCUCUAUAAAUAGAUCCCUCUACCUUCAAAGAUCCUUAACCACUAUCCAUUCCUUUGUUUUCUCCCUCUCUCUCUCUCUUCAAGUUCAAUGUUUUGUAGCACUAUGGCCGUCGGAAAUCAAGCCUGCAGCAGCCAUC